UUUAUUUUAGUGUUAAAGCACAUAAAAUUUUGAAUUUUAUAGAAUUAAUUAAAU
rnacentral:tRNA from 1 species